AUGUUGCUGUUCUGUAAUAACUACAUUUGAUUUGUUUCUCAGUAGCUUCUGAUUUUUCUGAUUCUUCUUGUCCUUGGUGCAGCGGCCAGCUGGCUUCUUUCUCCCCUGGAGUUCUGACAGUGUCAGCUGUUGAAAAACAGAGGUUCCUUCAUGAGUGUUAGACUCAUCUAGUCCGGGAACAAGAACAAUAUUGUGUGGCCAGUCUCCACUCCACAGCACAGCUUGAAGAAGGAAGCAUGAAACCUUCUGGGGAUGUACCUUAGCUUGCUCCCUGUGAGAUGAAAGCAAUCCUUUCAAAAUAUCAGAUGAUAUGACUGUUUAUUUUUGUUGUUUUGGUUUUUACAACUGAGCUUUCAAGAUAUUUUAUGCUCUGGUUUGUGAAGAGUAAAAAUUCCUGGUUAUUCAACUAAAGCUUUUUUGAUGGAUGUAGUUGGCUGGCUUCUCGGUGUUACUCUAUAUGUAAAUGUUCUGAUACGUGUAAUAGAGCCUCGCUGACUUGCUGUAAUAACCAGAUGAUCCACUCUGAAUUAGCAACCAGUUGAAGAUCUUGGAUUCUUUGGCCUCAAUGAAGAUCUGCUGCUCCAGAUCAAACUCCACUGUCUUGGUGGGAGGGACGAGGCUGACGGAGAUAGUGCCCUGCCCAGUGGAGUUGUGCCGGAAGAAGACAUUAACGGGUCCCUGCGUCCUCUAGAGUGUGCGCCCUGGUCCAGCUCAGAGAGAUUGUCCAGGACUUCCCAGAACGCUUGUGAACUAGAGACCAACUCUAGCUGGACCCCCCAGAGGGCAGGAUUCCUGGCAGGCUUCGGGCACUCAGUGUGGAUGCUCCCAAAUAUGACUUGAGACCAGCGUCCCCAUCAGUGCCCGAAACUUCUGGGGGAGGCAAGAAUCGUGAGCUGGAAAAGGCUUUGUCCGCCGGAGCUCACCAGGGGAUCAACAUGCAAAUGCUGAACAAAGGAGGAUGAACUAUGAAAGAGUCGCUGCUUCCCAGGAUAGAGUCCUCCAUCCUAGAGAGGCCUGAACGUGCGGCCAAGUGCACCCGAGAGGUUUGGAAACCCGAAGUCAAACAAAAGACCCCGAAUGUACAAUUAGUUUGGUCCUGUCAGCCCCGGGAGUGCCACUGUUGUCAGUGAAGCGCAGCGGAAACUGUCCAUCUGUCUGAAUUAAACAGCACGGACGUGCUGAUCCAUGGAGGACAGAUUCUGCAUCUCCAGCAUCCUGGUUGAGCUGGUCCAGGCGGGGGAUUGUUUUCUGAACAAACACAUUAGUGUGUUUUUGUUUCUCUUAGCCAGAAGGUGGCCUCCAGAAAGUCAGCUUCACACUCUCAGGCUUUAGAUAAGCGGAGAAAAGUCAGCAGAAGCAUAAAAGUGAAUAAGCCACAGGAUCGACUACAUGGUGCGGCCUCGUGGAUAAAGCUGAACUGAGACUCAGGAGACCUGCAUUCUAAUCCUAGCUCUGACUUUAGGAAAGUCACUGCCCCUCCCUGUGCCUCAGUUUCCUCAUCUUUAAAAUCAGAGUUUAAGCUCUUUGGGGCAGACGUGGUUUUUGUUCUGUGGUUGUACAGCACC